rnacentral:rRNA from 1 species
AUGGAGGUCAGCCUCGACCUCUGCGACAAUGGCGCAAAGGCAUCCAUGGUUGUCAGGGACAAGCUUCAUGUGUUGCCUAGGGAUAUACUAGGCAUCUCAACAUUUGGCCUAUCAGUAUUCCUUCUCAAGUGGUUUCCCAUGAAAUGGGUUGAUGCCUUGUUCCUCUUCUUCUCAAGGUUGAUACUUGGUGACAAAUACGGGCUUCAACGACCUAAGAUUGGUCCGCUCCAAAUCAAGAAAUCAACCGGGAAAACACCAGUGCUCGACAUUGGAGCUUUGAAAAAGAUCAGGGAUGGUGAAAUAAAGGUGGUCCCCGCAAUAAACCGCUUCACCGAGAGCGGUGUUGAAUUUGCCGACGGACGUAAGGACUUCGAUGCUGUCAUCCUCGCCACCGGGUACAAAAGCAACGUGCCAUCAUGGCUCAAGGAGGACGAAUUUUUCAGCCAGAGUGAUGGGUUCCCCAGGAUGGCAUUCCCGCACAGCUGGCGAGGCAAGAACGGCCUCUAUGCCACGGGCUUCACAAGGAGGGGUCUCAUGGGUUCCUCCUAUGAUGCCUCCAGAAUCGCCGCUGACAUCGCAGACCAGUGGACCGAGGCCCUCGCCAGGAAUAUCACUGCUCACAAUAAUGCUUGA